rnacentral:rRNA from 1 species
AUUACCGAGUGCGGGCCCCUCGGGGCCCAACCUCCCACCCGUGUUGCCCGAACCUAUGUUGCCUCGGCGGGCCCCGCGCCCGCCGACGGCCCCCCUGAACGCUGUCUGAAGUUGCAGUCUGAGACCUAUAACGAAAUUAGUUAAAACUUUCAACAACGGAUCUCUUGGUUCCGGCAUCGAUGAAGAACGCAGCGAAAUGCGAUAACUAAUGUGAAUUGCAGAAUUCAGUGAAUCAUCGAGUCUUUGAACGCACAUUGCGCCCUCUGGUAUUCCGGAGGGCAUGCCUGUCCGAGCGUCAUUGCUGCCCUCAAGCCCGGCUUGUGUGUUGGGCCCCGUCCCCCCCGCCGGGGGGACGGGCCCGAAAGGCAGCGGCGGCACCGCGUCCGGUCCUCGAGCGUAUGGGGCUUCGUCACCCGCUCUAGUAGGCCCGGCCGGCGCCAGCCGACCCCCAACCUUUAAUUAUCUCAGGUUGACCUCGGAUCAGGUAGGGAUACCCGCUGAACUUAAGCAUAUCAAUAAGCGGAGGAAAAGAAACCAACCGGGAUUGCCCUAGUAACGGCGAGUGAAGCGGCAAGAGCUCAAAUUUGAAAGCUGGCCCCCUCGGGGUCCGCAU